rnacentral:tRNA from 1 species
UUUGUUUGAUGGCUGAGAUAAAAGCGAUAGACUGUAGAUCUAUUAACGGAAUUAAAUUUCCUCAACAAAA